AACGAACGCUGGCGGCAUGCCUAACACAUGCAAGUCGAACGAGACCUUCGGGUCUAGUGGCGCACGGGUGCGUAACGCGUGGGAAUCUGCCCUUCGGUUGGGAAUAACUGAGAGGAAUUUCAGCUAAUACCUUAUAAUGUCUUCGGACCAAAGAUUUAUCGCCGAGGGAUGAGCCCGCGUAGGAUUAGGUAGUUGGUGGGGUAAUGGCCGACCAAGCCGACGAUCCUUAGCUGGUCUGAGAGGAUGGUCAGCCACACUGGGACUGAGACACGGCCCAGACUCCUACGGGAGGCAGCAGUGGGGAAUAUUGGACAAUGGGCGAAAGCCAGAUCCAGCAAUGCCGCGUGAGUGAUGAAGGCCUUAGGGUUGUAAAGCUCUUUUACCCGGGAUGAUAAUGACAGUACCGGGAGAAUAAGCUCCGGCUAACUCCGUGCCAGCAGCCGCGGUAA
rnacentral:rRNA from 1 species